CUCCUGCUUAUGCUGUGCUGGUGCCUCUGUGUGACCACCGCCUCUUCCUCCAAACUGCACAGGUCACUCUCUCAUGACCUUCAUUCCAUGUGGGGUCUAAGACCUCAUCAUCCUCCACCCACUCCUCAACCCAUCCCUCCUUGCCAGUCUGCACACUGCCGAAAGCCACAGCAGUUGGCAACUGUGUUUCGUCUUCCUCAGAGACGUGCUGUGGUGGUCUU